rnacentral:rRNA from 1 species
CUGGAAUCGCUAGUAAUCGUAGAUCAGCAUGCUACGGUGAAUACGUUCCCGGGUCUUGUACACACCGCCCGUCACACCACGAGAGUUUGUAACACCCGAAGCCGGUGGAGUAACCUUUUAGGAGCUAGCCGUCGAAGGUGGGACAAAUGAUUGGGGUGAAGUCGUAACAAGGUAGCCGUAUCGGAAGGUGCGGCUGGAUCACCUCCUUUCUAAGGA